rnacentral:sRNA from 2 species
AACGUCAAAUGAACGCGUUUCGGCCCAGGGAAGCCGGUGAAAAUCCGGCGCGGUGCCGCCACUGUGAGCUCGGGCCCCUCGGGGCCCGGCGAGUCAGACUGCUGGCCGGACGCGAGUCUUCGAUGGCCCGCGGCCUACGGGUAACUUCGAUGUUU